GACUUGGACGUCGGAGAUGUAUGCAGCUAGGAGCUCUUCUCUACCUUGAAGGAGUCUAACCAAUCAGUGGUCUGAGCUGGGUGAAACACAAACAGGAGAGGAGGCCCCUGAUUUGACCUUGGGAGCCCAGCCUCCCUCUAUGUUAAUGCCGGCUGAAUGGCUGAGCAGAAUUAGAAAGCGGCCAUGAAGAACUAACGAGGACUUUGUGUGAUGUCACGAUGAACUCCACGGCC